GCACUGGUGGCUCAGUGGUAGAUGUUUCGCCUACCAUGCGAAAGGCAUGGGUUCGAUUCCCAGCCAGUGCC